rnacentral:lncRNA from 1 species
UCAUUGUAAAUGAUGGCUUCAGUUCAACACAAAUACAAUUAAAUAAACCAAAACUUCUAGGACUAGCAAAGGGGAAAGAAUUCUCAAAGAUACUCUUUUCUCUGGCUUUCCAUAUUGAAAAUAAUUUCUCAUUUUGACAAUAUAACCUGAUAAAAACCUUCCAUCUGUGAUGGUUAAUACUGAGUGUCAACUUGAUUGGAUUGAAGGAUGCAGUAUUGAUCCUGGGUGUGUCUGUGAGAGUGUUGCCAAAGGAGAUUAACAUCUGAGUCAGGGGAUGGGGAAGGAGACCCCCCUUAAUCAGGUAGGCAAGACCUAAUCAGCCGCCAGCAAAUAUAAAGCAGGGGAAAAAACGUGAAGCAAAGAGAUGGGCCUAGCUUCCUAGCCUACAUCUUUCUCCUUUGCUGGAUGCUUCCUGCCCUUGAACAUCAGACUCGAAGUUCUUCAGCUGUGGGAAUCGGACUGGCUCUCCUUGCUCCUCAGCUUGCAGACAACCUAUUGUGCGACCUUGUGAUCAUACAGUUCUGGAGUCUGGAAUUCCAAGAUAAAGAUGCCAACAGAUUCAAUGUCCAGGAAUGAUCCAGUUACUGUUUCAUGGACAGCAGUCUUUUCACUGCGUCUUCAGAUGGGGAAAGAGAGACACGGUCUCGUCCUGUUGUCCAGGCUAAAGUGCAAUGUGGGAUCAUGGCUCACUGCAGAGCCAACCUCCUGGGAUCAAGAAAUCCUCCCACCUCAGCCUGCUGAGUAGCUGAAGCUGGAACCACAGGUAUACGUCACACACCUGGAUAAUUUCCUUCUUCUUUUUUUUUUUUUUUUGUAGAAAUGGGGUUUCAUUAUGGUGCCCUGGCUGGUCUUGAACUCCUGGCCUCAAGCAAUGCUCUCACCUCAGCCUCCCACAGUGCUGGAAUUAUAGGUGUGAACAACUGUACCCAGCUAACUUACACUUAAUUUUUUUUAUUUAAUGAAGUUUUAUUACAAUUAGUAAUAAAAUAAACUAAUGCUUACUGUAAACUUUUUACAACUUGUUAUCUCACAUUUUAGGUAAUAAUAAUACCAAAGACACAUAACAAUGAACAAAAAUCUGAGUAUACCUUUGCGUUACUUGAGCUUAGCUCCCUCCAAACUCACCAGAAUAUAUUUUAAAAUAGAAAAUCAAACAGUUUUCUUAUGGUUAAAGCAUAUGUUCAGCUAGAAUUAAUUGAAUUAUCUUAGCUGUUUAUCCUUAAACUCAGUGACACAGCAUAUAAAAAACCAGAAUAUUAUCUCCUGAUUACUUCUCUUUCUAUUAUAUGCAUUUUUGUUGUUGUUUUUUGUUUGUUUGUUUGUUUGUUUUUUUGAUGGAGUCUCAUUCUGUUGCCCAGGCUGGAGCGUGGCGGUGCAAUCUUGGCUUACUACAACCUCCGCGCCCUGGGUUCAAGCCAUUCUCCUGCCUCAGCCUCCUAAGUAGCUGGGAUUAUAGGUGCCUGCCACCACUCCCAGCUAAUUUUUCUAUUUUUAGUAGAGACAAGGUUUCACCAUCUUGGCCAGGCUGGUCUUGAACUCUUGAGCUCGUGAUCCACCUGCCGUAGCCUACCAAAGUGCUGGGAUUACAGGCGUGAGCCACCACGCCCAGCUGAACUGUGUUAGGUAAAGAAUAUUUUAUGAGUGGUAAAUCUGUUAAUAAUCAUAGAAAAUAAUUAAUCCUAAUGGAUCAGAGAGGUAUUGAGAUGUUUUCUUCCUGAAAGAUGGGUUUCAACCUUCCUUUUCAACUAUCAGUCUUUUUUCUUUUCUUUUCUUUUUCUUUUUUGAGAUGGGGGUCUCACUUUGUUGGCCAGGCUGGAGUGCAGUGGUGCAACCUUGUACCUUGGCUCACUACAACCUCUGCCUCCCAGGUUCAAGUGAUUCUUGUGCCUCAGCCUCCCAAGUAGCUGGGAUUACAGGUGUGUAACACCACACCCAGCCAAUUUUUGUAAUUUUAGUAGAGAUGGGGUGUCACCAUGUUGGCCAGGCUGGUCUCAAACUGCUGACCUCAAGUGAUCCUUCUCCCUGGGCCUCUCAAAGUGCUGAAAUUAUAGGCCUGAGCCACCACACCCAGCCAACUAUGUCUUUCUACAUCUUUCCAUCAACGCAAUGCCCAGAGGAAAAUAAUCAUCAAGACUAUGGUUUGCCAUUGCAUUCUUAUAAUACUUGGGACUCUGAGGACAAGUUUAAAUAUUCAAAAUUAAGUGGUGUACUUAUGUAAUUAUUUUACAGGUGAAUAAUUUAAGUAAAGGUAAAUUUGAAUAUCAUCUAUGAAUGAGCUUAUUAUAAAAACAUUAUUUAAUAGAGUUAAAAUGCUUCGAUCUAUUUUGAUAUUACUUAUUUAAAAGUCCAUAUUUUUGAGUUGGGACUCACAGGUUCUGUUGUUAAAAUAAUGUUGGGAAAUUUCCAGUAAUCUGAAGAGGCAAAAUAUUUGUCCUCAAUAACAUUUGUUAUAAUUUAUUUAACUACAUAUUAUGAACAGCAUACUAGUUAAUAUAAUGCUAGCUGCUGUGACAAAUAAACUCCAAAAUCUCAUAAAGUCCCACAACUGAUGGCAGAGACGGAAAGUAGGCUGGACUCAAUCACUAAUAUUGGGGACCCAGAAUAACAAGAGCUUCCAUCAUCUACACAUCCUUACACCUUGUGCUAUCAGCAUCUCACCAGGAAGAAUUGAGAAGAAAAUGCUCCCUAAGGCUGGGCGUGGUGGCUCACGCCUGUAAUCCCAGAACUUUGGGAGGCUGAGGUGGGCAGAUCACAUGAGGUCAGGAGUUCGAGACCA